UCAGUAUUGUGCCGCUCAAUUCCAUAUAU
rnacentral:sRNA from 1 species